GGUAAUACUUAACGGUUUCUGCUACUUAACUGGCUACUAGUUCAAAAUAGUCAAUUUAUUUCCAAUUUGCAGAUCUUUGACAGGGAGAGAACGAAAAGAAACGGUCCACACAGGAAGACGCGCCCGAAUCAGAAUUCAGAGGGAAAAGUAUUUGAAAAAUACUUAGUGGUCAGUGUAGACAGAACCCACCAACCAGUCGUAUGUGUUAAAAAAACAGAGCAAAUGAUCAAGAGGG
rnacentral:lncRNA from 1 species